UAUCAUUCCCAGGAGUGCUGGGGAUUGCAGUCUGGAUCAUGCCAUGCUUCAGCAAAACCUCCCCUGAACUGGGAGGGGGACAGGUCUGUGGUCACAGGUGUAAACCCUGAUCAUCAGGCUUCAGGGCAUUGAUGAUGGGGAAGCAGCCACACAUCAGACCCUGCUACUGCAGCUCCUUUCUGUGCAAGCAGUCUCACAGCACUGUAUAAGCAACUGGAUAUUAACUGCAACAGAAACAUGAAUGUUAUCUUUCCACAGUUUGCAUGACUAACAAGGGCUAUAAAGUCCUCUGGAUCCCUCUCUCCCCUACAGUCUCUUACUAUUCAUUGCCUUCUGUUUAUCCCAACUCCCUGCUUCCUCAGCCUUUGCUUCUAGGCUUCCUCCCUUUGGUAUUAAAAUCUUUCUUAUGAAAUAAAACCUUUUCUUUUCCCCUUUAAAGCUAUAUAUUUUUGUCAAACAGCCAUUUUUUUCUCAGACAAAUAAGUUUUUCUCUCUACUGCUUACUGGGAUGUUUGCACACGUUAGCUGAUGAAACAUAUGUUACUACGUAGUGGAUCAGACUUCUAUAGAUAAAAGAGACACAUAAAGAAAAAAAAACCUAAAAUAUUGAUUUAGAAAUUAAAAAUUAUAAAUAAAAUUUAUAAAUAAAACUUAUGUUUAGAACCAGGCUUAAAAGACCUCAGAUUUCAUCCAAACCUUUUUACUAAAAAGCAUACUUACUGAAAUCUGACUCCAUCAUUUUUUUUCAGUUGCUAUAUUUGUACAUGUGGAAACAGAAUUACUUCAGAAUAACUGCAAGAAAUGCUCCAUUAUUUUCAAAUCUUACUUUUGACAUGCAUGGCUACAUUCUGUGUAUUGUCUUUCAUACUUAAUUUGAAGGUGGUAAGACAGUGCAUUUGCAGGUGCAAACCUGCCUAGGAAGCCAUUCAAGUUAAGGAAGGCACACAGAAUUGUAACACAUUGGUAUGUUUACCCUUCUUGCCUGCAGAAAUGUGGGCUUAACUGAUGUAACCAAAUAUACAGUUACCUACAUCUUGAAAAUCUGAAACAAAUGGUCAGGAUACCAGUUUUUAAGGGCCUUUUAUUUAACUUCCCAUCCUAAGAAAUUUAGUACUAUUAUAGCUCUUUCUGGUUUCUUGCAAGUAUCUGAUAACUCUGUUCUAACAGUAUCCUGUAGAAAGCUUAUGUGAUAAAAUGUGCAGGUGCAGGCUGAGGUAUUUUUUGGGAAAAAAAAAGAAAAUUAAAAUAACAGGAUUAGCUGGGUGCCUUCCUCUCAGGUCUUGAAACCAAUAAUUUACUACCAAAAACAAACAGAAAAGAAUGUCCUAUUUCAAAUUUUUUUUUUAAUAACUUAAGGGAACAAUAGCCACCUCCUUUCAAAUUCAAAGCAAAAAUGCUAAUGGCUAAACAAUAGUGAAUCAUCAGAACUAAAGCCAGAAAAGUAUGUUUAUCUUAAUUUAUCUCAAUGGAAUAUACACAUUAAUUGCUUGGGCAAACUCCAAGCCAUUGUACUGGUAACUGAGACCAAGGUGAAGAAAGCUGUAAUACUGAGCUUAAACUAAGCCAAGUUUUAGGAAGCUGGAUUUCCAGAGUAGCUGGUGCCCAGGAGCUGUCCUGAAAUAAACUGCCUCUACUCCUUUUUAUUGUGCUUCCAGCUGCAAUGAGGUACAGUGGAAGGACCUCAUGAUAGAAACACACAGAGAACAUCCUCCAAAUAAAUAAACACAUUUGAUGGCUUUUCUUGUCCAUCAAAACAAAAAAGUUAUGUUGCACUGGUAUUAAGUCUUCCCAAAAAAUAUUACUAUUAGAAAUUAAAAAUAUGAAAAAAGCACAAAAAUGUCAUAAUCUGUGAUUUCUGAUAUGUAUACAUCAAAGUGUCUUUUAGAGCAGCAUUUUUCUUCUCUGCCAAGAGUUGUAAGGCAGUGCAGCUUAUCAGAUAGAACAUUAGAGCUGCUGCAGAUCUCUUAAAUCUUCUUUCCACCUUUACUACACCUCAGUAUGGAAACCUGUAAGUUCCUGGUACUUUUGCCACUGACUCAGACUGCCUAUCCAUAGAGUGAGGCUAAUGAUAGCUUGCAAAAUAAGCAUUUUAUUUUGAGUAUUUCUAUUUUGAUAUGCAAAGGAUGUGUAUUUAUGUAUCAGCAGCGAUGGAACUGUUAUUUUACACUGUUUGUCCUUAUUAGUUUUUAAGGGAAAAAUGAUACCAUAGAGCAGCAUCAAACAUUUUCAUUUGCUUUUUCUCAAUAGGUUGAAGCUGUGAAUAAAUAGAAUUAAUUUUAGGACUUCAGCUGACUGUAGAAAACACAAGAAAUACAAUUUUUUUACAAUUGAAGUUGCUGAAGCGAAUAGGAACUGAAGGCAUAAUAAAGACAUUUCUGGACUGAGAAUUGUUUUUCCACCUGCCCGGAUAUAUAUUUGUGUUCCUUGGCUUGAGAAAUAUUGCAGUGUGUUGCUUCACAGAACCAUGCCCUAAUUUCUCUCUUCCCUUUUUCCCUGGAGGCACUGAAGAAGUACCCUGGGGGGACUAGAUGAGUUUCAGAAACUUGAGACAGGUCUUGGUUCCAGUUCCACGAAAAACAAAAAGGAUUGUUGAACUACUUUGUAAGGAAACUGACUGCAAUUGGGACUGGAAGGAUGAGGUGCAAGUGCUGAAGUUUUUGCUAGAAUGCAUUACAAUCUGCUUGAAGAAAAGCACGUGUCCACUCACAAAGAAUUCAGUGGACUAUGAUCUACUUGGAAGAGACAUUUCCCUCACCAAGAUGUCUCCUCAAAGCUGGGACUUCCCAAUCAGCUGAUGAGCUAGGACCUUCAGAUGAAAUUCUUUUAUAGCCAUAAUCAAAAAUCACUGGAAUUUAUCACCAUGCAGAUUCAGCAACUCCACUGUGACUCAGGGAAUUAAAACCAAAUAUCAUAAUUUAAGAACUUGUUAUUUUGAUUAAGAACCAGCUGCAUGUGCAUCAAGAAUAAUGCAUUGGGAGGAACAGGAUGUUGCAUAAAAGGCAUUAGCUGUUUCCAACUAAGCUACACUCUGGAGAGAUGAAUUUUUGGGGUCACUAAGUAUGCAAGGAAAACUUGUGGAUUCAGAGCCAGAAUUUUUUGAGAACUGAAGAACAUUUUUACAUCACAAGCUGUAUUUGUUUCUCUUAGCAGAGAAACAGUUCAGGCCUGCUGACAUAUAAGGGACUGUGAAUUAGGACAUGCCUGAUUUAAAGUGCCAGUGAUGCCAAACAGAACUGUUUUAAAUCAAAUAGAACUCUUCAUUACCAAUUAGCUCUUGCCAAAGAUGUGUAUGGGUUUGUGUCUCUCAUAGCAGAAAGGAAAACAUUAACUUUCAGAAGAAAUGGGAAUGCUACAGUUGUCCCUUCCAACCCCAACAAUUUUGUGUGUGGUUAUAAAGUUUUUGUGUGUGAAAUAAAUUUUUUAUAAUUUUC